AUUGAACGCUGGCGGCAUGCUUUACACAUGCAAGUCGAACGGUAACAGGCCGCAAGGUGCUGACGAGUGGCGAACGGGUGAGUAAUGCAUCGGAACGUGCCCAGUCGUGGGGGAUAACUACUCGAAAGAGUAGCUAAUACCGCAUACGAUCUAUGGAUGACAGCGGGGGACCGUAAGGCCUCGCGCGAUUGGAGCGGCCGAUGUCAGAUUAGGUAGUUGGUGGGGUAAAGGCUCACCAAGCCAACGAUCUGUAGCUGGUCUGAGAGGAUGACCAGCCACACUGGGACUGAGACACGGCCCAGACUCCUACGGGAGGCAGCAGUGGGGAAUUUUGGACAAUGGGCGCAAGCCUGAUCCAGCAAUGCCGCGUGCAGGAAGAAGGCCUUCGGGUUGUAAACUGCUUUUGUACGGAACGAAACGGCUCUGGUUAAUACCCGGGGCUAAUGACGGUACCGUAAGAAUAAGCACCGGCUAACUACGUG
rnacentral:rRNA from 1 species